AGAGUUUGAUUCUGGCUCAGAACGAACGCUGGCAGCGUGGAUUAGGCAUGCAAGUCGAACGAGAUUCCCGCGGGUAGCAAUACUGGCGGGAUGACAGUGGCGGAAGGGCGAGUAACGCAUGGGUAAGCUGCCCUCAAGCUGGGGACAACUUCGCGAAAGCGGAGCUAAUACCGAAUGUGGUACUGCGGCGCAUGUCGCAAGUACUAAAGGUGGGGAUCUUCGGACCUGCCGCUUGAGGAGGUGCCCGUGUGCCAUCAGCUUGUUGGUGAGGUAACGGCUCACCAAGGCUUUGACGGCUAGCUGGUCUGAGAGGACGACCAGCCGCACUGGGACUGAGACACUGCCCAGACUCCUACGGUAGGCUGCAGUCGAGGAUCAUUCGCAAUGCGCGAAAGCGUGACGAUGCGACGCUGCGUGGAGGAUUGAAGGCCUUCGGGUUGUAAACUCCUGUCAUGAGGGAAAAGUCGUACGGGUGUGAAUAGCGCCUGUACUCGAUGGUACCUCAAGAGGAAGCCACGGCCAACUCUGUGCCAGCAGCCGCGGUAAUACAGAGGUGGCGAGCGUUGUUCGGAUUUACUGGGCGUAAAGCGUGUGUAGGCGGUUCGGUAUGUCGGAUGUGAAAUCCUGGGGCUCAACCUCAGAAGUGCAUCCGAAACUACCGCACUAGAGUGCAGGAGGGGAGAGCGGAAUUCAUGGUGUAGCGGUGAAAUGCGCUGAUAUCAUGAAGAACACCGGUGGCGAAGGCGGCUCUCUGGAAUGCUACUGACGCUGAGACACGAGAGCUGGGGGAGCAAACAGGAUUAGAUACCCUGGUAGUCCCAGCUGUAAACGGUGCGCACUUGGCGUGGGGGGAUUUGACCCCCUCCGUGCCGGAGCUAACGUGUUAAGUGCGCCGCCUGGGGAGUACGGCCGCAAGGUUAAAACUCAAAGAAAUUGACGGGGGCCCGCACAAGCGGAGGAGCAUGUGGCUUAAUUCGAUGCAACGCGAAGAACCUUACCUGGGUUUGACAUGUAGCUGCAAGCCUGUCGAAAGACGGGCCGCCUUCGAGGGUGCUACACAGGUGCUGCAUGGCUGUCGUCAGUUCGUGCCGUGAGGUGUUGGGUUAAGUCCCGCAACGAACGCAACCCCUAUGUUUAGUUGCCAGCGGGUAAUGCCGGGAACUCUAGACAGACUGCCCGUACACGCGGGAGGAAGGUGGGGACGACGUCAAGUCAGUAUGGCCCUUACACCCAGGGCUGCACACGUGCUACAAUGGUCGGUACAAAGGGACGCAAAGCCGCGAGGUGGAGCAAAUCCUCAAAACCGGCCUCAGUUCAGAUUGUAGUCUGCAACUCGACUACAUGAAGUCGGAUUCGCUAGUAACGGCGUAUCAGCUACGACGCCGUGAAUACGUUCCCGGGCCUUGUACACACCGCCCGUCACGUCAUGAAAGCCGUCUGCACCCGAAGUCACUGAGCUAUCCCGCAAGGGAGGCAGGUGCCGAAGGUGUGGGUGGUGAUUGGGACGAAGUCGAAACAAGGUA
rnacentral:rRNA from 1 species